GAUGAACGCUAGCGGCAGGCCUAAUACAUGCAAGUCGAGGGGUAACAGGAAGUGCUUGCACUUCGCUGACGACCGGCGCACGGGUGAGUAUCGCGUAUACAAUCUGCCUCAUACUAGGGAAUAGCCCGAAGAAAUUUGGAUUAAUGCCCUAUAGUAUCUUUUUAAGGCAUCUUAUUAAGAUUAAAGGUUACGGUAUGAGAUGAGUAUGCGUUCUAUUAGCUAGUAGGUGUGGUAACGGCACACCUAGGCUACGAUAGAUAGGGGCCCUGAGAGGGGGAUCCCCCACACUGGUACUGAGACACGGACCAGACUCCUACGGGAGGCAGCAGUAAGGAAUAUUGGUCAAUGGACGAAAGUCUGAACCAGCCAUGCCGCGUGCAGGAUGACUGCCCUAUGGGUUGUAAACUGCUUUUAUAUAGGAAGAAAAACUUUCUCGUGAGAAAGCUUGACGGUACUAUAAGAAUAAGGAUCGGCUAACUCCGUGCCAGCCGCCGCCGUAACAC
rnacentral:rRNA from 1 species